rnacentral:rRNA from 1 species
CGGGAGGCUGCAGUUAGGAUUUUGCGCAAUGGGGGAAACCCUGACGCAGCCACGCCGCGUGCGGGAUGAAGGCCUUCGGGUCGUAAACCGCCUUUCUCGAGGAAGACACCCGACGGUACUCGAGGCAUAAGCAACGGCUAACUACGUGCCAGCAGCCGCGGUAAUACGUAGGUUGCGAGCGUUGUCCGGAUUUACUGGGCGUAAAGCGCGCGCAGGCGGUUCCGAAAGUCGAAUGUGAAAGCUCCCGGCCCAACUGGGAGAGGCCGUUCGAAACUUCGGGACUUGAAGGCGGGAGAGGCAGAUGGAAUUUCCGGUGUAGCGGUAAAAUGCGUAGAUACCGGAAGGAACACCAGUGGCGAAAGCGAUCUGCUGGCCCGCCCUUGACGCUCAGGCGCGAAAGCUAGGGGAGCGACCGGGAUUAGAUACCCCGUUAGUCCUAGCUGUAAACAAUGGGCACUAGGUGUUGUCGGUAUCGACCCCGGCAGUGCCGAAGCUAACGCAUUAAGUGCCCCGCCUGGGGAGUACGACCGCAAGGUUA